AACAAACGCUGGCGGCGUGCCUAAUACAUGCAAGUCGAACGGGGAAAGCUUUCGGGUGAGUACUAGUGGCGCACGGGUGAGGAACGCGUGGAUAAUCUGCCUUAGAGUGGGGGAUAACUAGUCGAAAGAUUAGCUAAUACCGCAUAAGACCACAGGAGCUGCGGCUCAAGGGGUCAAAGGUUUUUCGCUCUAAGAUGAGUCCGCGUAAGAUUAGCUAGUUGGUGAGGUAACGGCUCACCAAGGCGACGAUCUUUAACUGGUCUGAGAGGAUGAUCAGUCACACUGGAACUGAGACACGGUCCAGACGCCUACGGGAGGAAGCGGUAGGGAAUAUUGCACAAUGGAGGAAACUCUGAUGCAGCGACGCCGCGUGAGUGAUGAAGGCCUUCGGGUCGUAAAGCUCUGUCGCAGGGGAAUAACACAAUGAAUGUACCCUGUAAGAAAGGAUCGGCUAACUUCGUGCCAGCCGCCGCAGUAAAAC
rnacentral:rRNA from 1 species